UCAGUAAAGGUAUGAGGUAAGAUCCUCAGCUGAGAAGUGAAGGCUGAAAGUGAAGAGAAAGUUGGGAACAUCAAUUGUGGAGAGAGGACCAACAACAAGAAUGAAAGAAUUACCUCACUGAGGUAAGGACCCAAGUAAGAUUAGCUAACAGAUUGACAGUGGAUCUAGUAAGCACAAUUGGGUGACUUCCUGAUCUCUCAUAAGAAUUGAUAGGACAAAGGAUGUAAGGAGAGAGGACAAAGUGAAAACAAACUAGUCUGCUCCAAGAUCAAGAUUGGAAGGGAGGAAAAUAAAGCCAGAACAAGGGAAAUGACCUAGGGACUAAGGGAGGCAGGGGAAGGAGGUCAUGCCAAUUGGGAGUGAUAAGUUUCAAUUGUUUAGAUCUCACUUUAUUUGUGUGAAAAAGUGGUUUGUAAUUGUGUUCAUAUAAUUCCUGUGUUUGGCUUGGCAAAAAGAUCCCCAAGGAUUUGAUAUGUCUAGAGUGAUUUUAAAUGGAAUUUCUCUUUCUAACUCUUGCCGCUGGACUUUGUUAGAAACAUAUAGAAAUGCUGAAGAUUUGUGUGGAUUUAUUUUGUAUCCUGGCACUUUGCUAAGGUUAUUAUUUCAACUAGUUUUUUAAUUGAUUCUCUAGGAUUCUUUAACUAUACUGUCAUAUCAUCUGCAAAUAGUGUUAGUUUAGUUGAGGAAUAAGUUUCAGAAGAGUGAAGCAGAGGGAGAGAUGGAAUAAUGGGAGAUUAGAAGCAGAUAAAGCAUUUCCAGAUUUUGGGAACACUCGUGGGUAACAGUAAGAGCAAAGGUGUCCCCAUCCAUCCCUGGGUGAGACCAGAGUGAGGGAGAGGAGGAGGAGGCAAUCAUGGCAAUUGAGGAGCCGGAGAAAUUAGGAGGUCAGAGUGUUUGGGAGAAUAUCCAUAUGCACAUUGAAGCCUCCUGGAAUAGGGUUGGAUGGCAAGGCAGUGAGAAAGGCUGCACUGCUGGGGAUGCUACUGUGAGCACAGCUUUGGAGCUGUCCAGAU
rnacentral:lncRNA from 1 species